UAGGAUAUCGGGAGUGAUGAUAUGCAUUCUUUAUUUGGGCACUUAGAAUGCAAAGAGCUAGUAGUGCACCCUACCGACUGAGAA
rnacentral:ncRNA from 2 species